rnacentral:rRNA from 1 species
UACGGAGGGUGCGAGCGUUGUCCGGAAUCACUGGGCGUAAAGGGCGCGUAGGCGGCCUUCUAAGUCGAACGUGAAAUCCCUGGGCUCAACCCAGGAACUGCGUCCGAUACUGGAAGGCUUGAAUCCGGGAGAGGGAUGCGGAAUUCCAGGUGUAGCGGUGAAAUGCGUAGAUAUCUGGAGGAAUACCGGUGGCGAAGGCGGCUCUCUGGACGGUGACUGACGCUGAGACGCGAAAGCGUGGGGAGCAAACAGG